AACUCUUCCGUGGCUCCUCUGAAAAUAAUCUCUCCCCCCUUUUUUCUCUCUCCGUUUGUCUCAAUUGAGUUUCCAGCCCUUUUGUUCGCUCUUCUUAUCACUUGGAAAAAGGUGAACCCUCGUGUUAUUUUUAUUUGAAUCUUUGCUUUAAUUGUAGUUUUUACCCUUGUGGUCCCUGAUGGCUUCGCACAGUGAUACUCUGGUGGUGUUCUUUGGGGCAACAGCUGGUGCAAAUGGGGGUAAACUGGGUUCGGAUGAGAGGGAAAUAAUUCUCUUGGUGUGGCAAAUUGUGGAUCUACAUGAGAAAAAGGUCGGGAAGCUUCAUAAAUGUCAUGUUAAGCCAGACUCUUUGGAGCUGACAGACCAGUGUAAAGAAGAGACAGGACUGACUUUGGACGAAAUAAUCAAAGCUGAGCCCCUGGACAAAGUUCUGCAACAGUUCCAGCAGUCAGUGUCAUCAGAAGUAAAAUGUCUUGACAGGAACUCUUACACACUUUGUGUCAACAGUCCUCUCAUCAUUCGACAGGCCCUCCACCCCGAGGCUUCCAAAAAGAAUCUUGUCCUUCCUGAAUGUUUCUUUUCAUUUGUGGAUGUGAGAAAGGAGUUUCACAAAUGCUGCCCAAAUGCCGGCCCUGCACAGAAGCUCACACUCACCUCCAUGAUGGAAUAUGUUGGUCUUCCUGCUGUGUCAGAGCAGGUGAUGGGAGUGAGGGAGGUGAUGAGCAUGGUGCAGCUGACACUCUGCAUCCUGGAUGAGCCCUACAAUCACAAGUUCAGCUGUGUUGAAACUGUGAAGUACAAGUUCGACUCUGGCACAUGCAGUAAGACGGAGCCGGUUGACAGUGAGACAGUGAUCAGAGCACGAGGGCUUCCAUGGCAGUCUUCAGACCAAGACAUCGCUCGCUUCUUUAAAGGCCUUAAUAUUGCCAAGGGUGGUGUGGCACUGUGUCUAAACGCUCAGGGCAGGAGGAAUGGCGAAGCCUUAGUUCGCUUCAUCAACUCGGAACACAGAGACCUGGCUCUGGAGCGCCACAAACACCACAUGGGCAGUCGCUACAUUGAGGUCUACAAGGCCACAGGAGAGGAAUUCCUCAAGAUUGCGGGGGGUACAUCCAAUGAGGUGGCCCAGUUCCUGUCCAAAGAGAAUCAGGUGAUUAUCCGUAUGCGGGGGCUGCCGUUUACUGCCACGCCACAGGAAGUGCUGUCCUUUCUUGGUCCCGAGAGCCCAGUUACAGAUGGUGGUGAGGGUCUGCUAUUUGUCAAGUAUCCUGAUGGACGGCCCACUGGCGACGCCUUUGUGCUCUUUUCUUGUGAAGAAUAUGCUCAGAAUGCUCUGAAGAAGCACAAGCAGAUCCUGGGGAAACGUUACAUUGAGCUGUUUCGGAGCACCGCGGCCGAAGUGCAACAGGUCCUGAACCGCUACAUGUCUACACCUCUGAUCGCCACACUACCACCCUCACCCAUCGUGCCGGUCCCAGUCCUCGCUACACCUCCCUUCCUUCCAGCAGCCAGCAGCACUCGAGACUGUAUUCGCCUCCGUGGCCUGCCCUACACUGCCGGCAUCGAAGAUAUCCUGGAAUUCAUGGGAGAACACACUGUUGACAUCAAACCUCAUGGAGUUCACAUGGUCCUCAACCAGCAGGGGCGACCCUCUGGUGAUGCCUUCAUCCAAAUGAAGUCAUCUGACAAAGCGUUUAUGGUAGCCCAAAAAUGCCAUAAAAAGACAAUGAAGGACCGAUAUGUUGAGGUCUUCCAGUGCUCCACAGAAGAGAUGAGCAUCGUCCUGAUGGGGGGAACCUUGAACCGCAGUGGCCUCUCGCCUCCACCCUGCAAACUUCCCUGUCUGUCUCCCCCCACAGCCUACGCUGCCUUCCCCACUCCACCUGCCAUUCUCUCUGAGGCUGCCCUCUACCAGCCCCCUCUGCUGGCUGCACCCAGACCACCUCAGACCACCGCACACAGCCCCGCUCACACUCUGGCCUACUACCCCCCUCAGCCACAUCUAUACAUGAACAUGAACAUGAACUACACUGCUUACUACCCCAGCCCUCCAGUUUCUCCCUCCACUGUUAGCUACUUUGCAGCUCCACCAGGAGCAAUGGCAGCAGCAGUCGCAGCUCAGUCCCACCCCGCUGCAGCCGCCGCCUCUCCUGUACUGCCCCAGCCUGGUGCCCUGGUCAGGAUGCAGGGACUGCCCUACAAUGCUGGAGUCAAAGACAUCCUCAGCUUCUUCCAGGGAUACCAGGUCAGUACAUGCAGCACUGAAGGAAGGCACAGACAGAAAUGUGUGUUUUGAGGGAUGUGCCACACAAAGAUUCGUAUGGAAAUGCAUAGCAAUACACAGUGAAAGGAUGCUGUUUAAAAUGAAGUCUCUAUUUUAGCAUUUAGCAUUUUAGCUCCAUAUGUCAAAUGCUCUCACGCUUUUAGCUGUACCUUCUUUCCAGAAGGCCCAGGACAGUACUUUAGUAAGUUCUGAUGAGCAUUCAUAGCAGAUAAUGAUGGGAAUACCAGGAUAAGACUUGCCAGUAUUUUUUGCUCUAUUUUGUUAUUUAUGAACGCCCAUAAUCUGCUACCCCACAUGAUAAGAUCUCUAGCUGUUGUACCAUUAAGUGCAUUUCUGUUGAGGCUUUUUGUUGUAGAAUCACACCACAUUACUGUUCAACUAAGGGACAUGUAAAUACUUGUGCUCUUCCCACUCAUCUUUGCUUCCCAUAUUUAUUGCUGCCAGCCCAAAUUAGGUGGAGUCCCCUGAAGCAGUACGCCCCUGACGAGUACAGCGGCGUGGUUCAGAUGAGCGAACAGGCCAGGAGUCUGAUUCAGCCCAAAGAAUGGCUCUGUCUUUAGGGACUCACCCCAAGCUCCAACCAGACGCCGUUCUCAUAUUGUAUAACUUCAGCGGCCAAUGCAGCGGCGAGGCCUUGAUCACCUUCCCUAGUGAGGAGAUCGCCAGGCAGGCUGUGGCCGAGUGCUCCAGCCACACUUUCUACGGCCAGCAGAUCCACCUGGUCUUCUGUAACUGACCACCAGCCCUCCAUCUCUCUCUCCACCACACUCAGUUUAUCAUCCCGCAGAAGAACAGUCUCUGUUCUCUCCUAGGCACUUGCUUCAACUCCAAGCUCCAGUAGAUUUCAGUGCUUUGUAAAACACCUAACUAGCCUCUCCCUCUUCCAUGAUCUGCUGACCCAAACACACACCUGUCAGCUCUGAUGCUCCUGAAGCUGCUGAUGGAGUUGAAACAUCCACAGAUGAAGCAGCUACAGUCUGUAAAGGUUCAUGUUGGGGGAAUGACUUUGUGGAUGGUGUUUCUUUGUAUUUGCUCACAUUCUAAUAGCUGGUUGUGGAGAGGAGAUGGUGUGGAUUCUGGACAGAUUAUAUCAGUGGCUCUGCAAAGCCAAACAUGCAGGUAUGUUUAAAUACUCUCUAUGUGUGUGCCCCAUUAAACUGUACAGAUGUUCGUCCUGAAAUGCUUGAGGCUGUACAAACCACUUCUACACACAAUCUUCUCUGUAUAUUUCUAAAUUUUCACUGUUAACCACUACAAGAUUUAGAGAUUUUUGUGUUUAGGAACCUUUUGUGUUAGUUCUAUGCAAACACAGCUGUGUGUAUGUGCAGGCUCCAUGUUUAUUAUUUGACGGCCUCCAGCAGUGCCGUGGUGUCGUUGAAAAAAGAACAAAAGCCAUAAAAGUGACUUAGACUACUGACAACAGAGUACAACUGUACUCUUAAGCUGAAUGAAUUAAUUUAAAUUGCUUUGAGCUUCAGGGACUACUAGCUUAUUCUACAUUACACCACAGCUGUACCAACUAAUGGCUAACUUUAUUUUUAUUAGUUUUUUUUCUGUAAAAAGCAUUUAUGUAUGAUAACAAUCCAUUUACUUUUUCCUAGCACUAAAUUUUUUUCUCUAAUCAAAGAGUUAAGGAAUUGAGCAUCUUUAACAGAGUAGCAAGACAAAUUGAUCCUAUUUUUAUUAAAGCCAUUUCUUUACAAAAGCUGAAAUUUAGUUAUGAAAUGUAUAAGGACAGAGGCAUAUCCUCAAGUCUAUUAUAAUGAUCGACCUUAGCUGCUGUAUCUGUUCCGUUCUUGUUUCCAGACUAACAAUCAGUCUGUGGCAUGCUUUCAUUCCUGCCAUCUACCAGAGUGUUGUGUAAAGCUGCAUGAGUUUUUCCUGUGACAGGCCUGCUGAUAGAUGCCUUAGUUUUUCACCUUUACUGUGCCUACAUUACCCAGAGUGCAAUACUGGCCCAUAUGGGGCCAGAUCAACCUCUGAUGGCAGAAGAGCUAUUUGUUUCUUUGGAUGCAAGUUUGAGACUUGUAUGAAUUUAGACUUGUGUAUAAACUGUAAACGAUAAAACUGUUGACAAUGA